rnacentral:rRNA from 1 species
CAUGCAGGCGGUCGGACGCGUUUUGUGUGACAGCGGGUGGCUUAACUGCCCGAGUAUGCGAAAGACGGUUCGACUUGAGGGCUCGAGAGGGACACGGAAUUCCGGGUGGAGUGGUGAAAUGCGUAGAGAUCCGGAGGAACACCGAAGGCGAAGGCAGUGUCCUGGCGAGUGACUGACGCUGAGGUGCGAAAGCCAGGGGAGCGAACGGGAUUAGAUACCCCGGUAGUCCUGGCCGUAAACGAUGACCACCAGGUGUGGGAGGUAUCGACCCCUUCUGUGCCGGAGGAAACCCACUAAGUGGUCCGCCUGGGGAGUACGGUCGCAAGAUUAAA